AGUAAUAUAUAGUUAAUGUGCCUUGAAGACCGGGAUAGCCAUUGGAAACGAUGAUUAAUACUGGAUAUACCUUCUAAUCGUAAGAUUAGUCGGGAAACGUUUUUCCGCUUCGAGAUCAGACUAUAUCCCAUCAGCUUGUUGGUGAGGUAAGAGCUCACCAAGGCAAUGACAGGUAGCGGGUUUGAGAGGAUGAUCCGCCACACUGGUACUGAGACACGGACCAG
rnacentral:rRNA from 1 species